GAGCUAGCACAAGUUGAAUUCACCAAAUAGAAGACAUUGGAAAUGAGACCCGAGGGUUGGAGGAGGAGGAAGCCUGCAAUGUGAACACGAUGGCUGGAGCUCCGGCAGCCAUUCUGGACCAGGAGGUAGCCUUGAAGAUGGAAGCCACAUGUUGGGAUGGUGAAUCCAAAAGAUGAGGAGCCUGUAUCCCCUGUGACACCAGAACUGCCAUACCAGCCCUGGGUUCCUCCAUCUAUACUGCCUUCAUAUGGUAAAGAAAUAUUCUUGGAUCUUGUUAGGUGUCUGUUGCAGCCAAACACAAUCCCAACUGAUAUUCACUGUAAAUGAUUCCAUGGC
rnacentral:lncRNA from 1 species